CACACACUCCCAUGGAGACACACACAGUCACACACACACACACACACACACACACACACACACACACGGCUCUCUUUGACGACUGGAGACUUUGCCCCAGGCAGAACAGCUGGCUGGCAGUGCUGACUGAGGAGUUGGACUGAAGAACCUCUGGUCGAGCGGAAACCAGUAUUCCAUGAAGUUUAAGAUGGGCUGCCUCGGGGGGCACCUCAUGGGGACAGUCUCAGGAGGCCAGGAACUGGCUGCUGUCUGCCUGGCCAGAGGAGGCCCAGAGUGGGAAGCAGGCUUUUGGCAGUCGAGACUCUCUGUGGGGAGGGGACACACAGUCUGCAGAGGCUGGGGACCUCAUAAAAUACCUCCUCUUUCUAACGCAGAACGUGUGCCAAGAGGGCCCCUUUUCUCCUUGGCGAGGCCUGGCUAAUAGGAGAGGAUAUAUUAAAAAAAAAAGCAGAUAGAAUGGCCCGUUUCAGUCCAGGAAAACCACCCUACACAGGCGAGUGUUGUCCGUGGACGCACGCCUCCUGGCCGGUCCAGGGCCGCUGUCCGCACACACCUGCAGGCUGUCCUUUGCAUCACUGUCCCGAAUCCCAGGCUGUGGUCCAGGGAGGUGGGCUCUCGGGCUCCGUGUGAGUGGAUGCUGGGGCAGGCCAUGUUUAUUCUGGCUGCCAGGGUUGGGUGGAAAUGCAGGCGAGGGCCAAGGCUGGGAAUGUGGCAGGAACACUGCUGGGGUGGGGUGGAUGGGGUGUAACCCAAGAGAGCUCGGGUGGAGGCCUGGGGUGAGGGUAAGGGUGGGAGUGGGGAGGUGGGGGGGGGGCCAGCAGUCAUCACCUGCCUCCUUCUGCCUUCUGCUUGGUCAAAUGAUUCUAAACCAGGGUGUGGGUAUUGUUGUCAGGAUGGUUCUGGCCGUGGCAAGGCUGUGUUCCAAUCCAGGCUAUGCCACUUAUUAGCUGUGCAAGUUAGGGCAGAUUAUUUCCCUUUCUGAGCCUCGGUGUUGUCAUCCUUGAAAUGGGAAUUUUGCCACCCACUGGAUGAUGUCUUUGUUUUUUAAAUUUUUUAUUUUGUAUUGGGGUAUAGCCAAUUAACAGACAAUGUUAUGACAGUUUCAGGUGAACAGGGAAGGGAUUCAGGAAUAUAUAUGCUUACACAUGUACCCAUUCUCCCCCAAAGUCCCCUUCCAUCCAGGCUGCCACAUAGCAUUGAGGUGAGUUCCCUAAAUACAACAGUGUGUACAAGUCCAUUCCAAACUCCCUAUCCCUUUCCCCCUGCAUUUUUCCUCCCCAGCAAGUUCGUUCUCUAGGUCUGUGAGUGAGAUCGCGUCUUUAAGUGGGCCGAUGUCUGGCAAGAAGAGGGCGCCCAUUAGGUGUUCUUCUUCCUGGUUUCAUGUCCCCAAAGAACACGCUAUCUAGGUUCCCUUGAGGUAGGAUCUAUAUUCCCCAUGUACAUCUGUGGAAUUGAACAUCAAGCAGCUUGGCCAAGGUCAGGGGACCUGUGAGUGGCAGAAGGCUGAGCGCUGAAGAAUUGAUGCUUUUGAACUGUAG